GGACCCACGUAGCGAGGACCCGAUGCCAGGUCCAGCAGAUCACGCUGCACUCGCGUGUUUUAAAAUGUUUACACCCGAAACUCCACCACGUCCGCAGAAGCAAAAACGUUUGCAAAAUUACCGACGUGAGUGAUAAGAGAGAAACCCCUGGCAAUGAGAACAAGGCAAACUGUGUUUUCUGUUGUUCAUGGACUGGCUGAAGUAAAGCAGCAUCAGGAGACCAACAUGUAAGAACCAUGAGAACAGAGAGGACCCAACCAGCAGGUCACAGUUUAUCAUCAUCUAAUCAUCUCCUGAAGUCCAUAUGACAUCCACCAAGCACUGGAACACAUCUCCAAAGGUCUGCCGGGCCAGCUCAGCUUCCCCUCAGAAGAAGUUCCACCAGAUGAAGGAGCCUUUUGAGAGGCAGCUGGCAUCGUGAUUGGACUGUACUUUGGUCUGUUCCAGUCCAGCUUCAGCUCCAGAGACGGCAGGCAGGACGAGUCAACGGAGGCCGGGUGGACGAAGGCAUGCAGCUGAGUACAAUCCAGAAAACAACAGAGGAGGAGUGCAGCGACCCAGGGCCAGAACAAGCAGAGUAACAUAACCAAAGAACUACAGACUCUUCACAACCUGCUCAAACUCUUGGUACAGGACCUCACCACACGUGUCAAGAAGGUUUCCAUCUCAUUUCUACUCUGAAGCUCACCUUCUCCUGCUCAAACUGCUAACAAAUGUUUCUGCUGCUCUAAAGUCUGGUCUCCAGAACUUCCUAAAAACUCUCAAAGUCUCUUCUGCUGCAGGUUGCUUUGUAGAACUGUUGCAGAAAACCUCACUAAACCACAUGGAGGGGCCUCAAGAUAGUCGUCCAAAUGAAACCAUACAAAAACCAAACUAGCACAACCCAAACGCUAAAGUCUCCUGCAGCCUACCAGAGAACCUCUGAGAACAGAGAAUCAGGACAGGAACUCUUACCUUCUGGACAACCAACGUUGGUUCUCAAACAAGAAUACAGAAUGUGUCUGACCAAAAACCUCUGAAGACUCACUACAGCCACAACUCAGCUGCAUCAAAUCCACUAAUCACUGCACACAUUAGCACCAUGUGCUGACUGUGGCUAAAGAACCACAUUUACCAAGACAACUAUCCAGUACAAAGCCCUAAAACACACCAAGAAACACAUUAAAGAUGAUUUUACUGCUGGAAGCUGCAAGCCAACGCCUAAAGAACAAACUAAAGCAAUGGAGCCAAACCCAGUUCACUGGUGAAGAGAAACAGAGGAAAUGUUUGGCUGCAGCCAAAUAAAGCAGGAAGACACUGAGCUGCUCAGGUGUUCCUGAUAACACCAAGCAGCCACCUGGACAGCCAAUAGGAACACAGCUUACUGGAAGUCCAGAGGGCUGGCUUAGUGAAGGAAAUUUAGUUUAAAGUUGAAGCAGAAAGUUAACAAAGAAAGUUGAAAACCACCUUCUGAUACCUGAAAUCUCUGAGUUUUCACACAAAGAACGCCUGAACAUGUCAAACUGGUUCCAUAGUAGAACCAUCAUUGUAAAAACGUCAUAGUAUGGUGUGUUGCUCAAAAAACAUUAUGACCUGGCUGUCUAGGGUCGCCGAGGAGCAACACAAAAACAGGACAAACGCUGGUUUCCAGGGGGUUAGGCAGCUAUUUAUUUGAAAGAGUAAGUUUACAACAACACAACAUGUGAGCAGAAAAAUCACAAAGUCUGUCUUUAGUUCAGCUGAAAAUAUUAGUUUUUGUCUGUUUUAUUGACCAAACUUUUCAGGAAGUAGAUGAAGAAUAAUUAAAGCUCUCAUGUAGAAGUCCAACUUAUUUUGGAUCCUUGUGGAGAGUUUAAUCUUAGAGUUUGUACAGCUGUUGAGUUUUUAGAGUCACAUGGAUUGUUUUGACAUUUAAUAACCGAGUCCUGAAAUAAAAUUACAUUUGUGGAUUUCUGUCAUUUAGUCUGGACUAAACAAAUAACAGCAGCAUAAAUCUCAAACGUCAUUCUGAGGAGUCUGGAUUGAAGUUUCUCACUUGAUAAUGAUCAAAACAUGAAAUUUAGGUUGGUUUAAAGGAAUAUUCCACCUUAAAUCUUUGAAUGUUGACCUAAAAGGUUGGUUUCAAUUCAAUUUCAGUUCAAUUUUAUUUAUAUAGCGCCAAUUACAGUCAAAUUGUCUCGAGACGCUUUACAGAACCCAUAUGCCGAUGCCGAUGUCUAUGGAGUGAACAGGGACCGUCUGCAAAUUGCAAAACUGCUGCAACAGCAAAGAGAGACAAAUAUUCAAUAGCUUCUCUCUGAUACACUGUAGUGUCACCAAAAUCACUGCAGCCUUCAACUGUCUCCUGUUGACACCAAUGUUAUUUCUGCAGCUUGAAAGACAGUUACUGUUGAUAAAACUAGGCUUGUAGGACAUUGUCUACCUUACAACGAUGGAAAAGAGGCAUCGUUUAUAAUGAGUUAUGGAUGGUGGAAUUCUGAAUCUGUGAAUAUCUUUCCGAUUUUACUGAACUGUGGCCCCAAGGAGCCGUGGUGGGCGUCCUUUAUUUUCAUUUCUGAAAGGAGGCAACCCUAGUUGCAGUCUAUGGUCCAGUCACCUUUCGUAACUUUUGCAAGCCACUGCUUUAAAUAAAACUUUAUUGAUUUCAAAUUUGUCUGCGAUUCAUACGUUUCUGUUCUGUCAUAACAGUUGGGAGAUUCAGUUCAGUUUGAUUCAGUUUUUCUUGGUGUAAUGAACGGCUGUCUUGGAGAUCUUCAGUUUUUUCACUACCUGUCUCUUACUCAUGCCAAUUUCCAGCAGUGCCAAGAUGGCUGCCUUUGUGGCUUUACAUAAUUCUUUUGUUUGAGGCGUUAUGUGAGAGCUGACAACUUCUGAGUUGUGCUAUGGCUUGAAUGUCAGCAGGAAACCACUCUAGGCCUUUGCAUGUGCAGUGUUGCUUAUGACAUGAAAUUACCUCUUAUAUACCCUGGGAAUACAAUUAAGCUGAUGUGAAAUAGGACAUAAAGUAUUAUGUAAUAAGCUGCAUUUUUUGUCGUGUUCAUUGGUAUUCUUCAGGUAAUAUACCUUUAGCGGUACCUGGCAAUAAAAUGAGCAAGAAAUUGAAGAAAACAA